rnacentral:tRNA from 1 species
GGAGAUUUGACUCAAGUAGUAGAGCACCAGCCUAGGAAGCUUGAAGCCCUGAGUUCAAAUCUCAGUUCCA